rnacentral:rRNA from 1 species
UAUUGCACAAUGGGGGAAACCCUGAUGCAGCGACGCCGCGUGUAGGAAGACGGUCCUCUGGAUUGUAAACUACUGUCCCCAGGGACGAAGAUGACGGUACCUGGGGAGGAAGCUCCGGCUAACUACGUGCCAGCAGCCGCGGUAAUACGUAGGGAGCGAGCGUUGUCCGGAAUUACUGGGUGUAAAGGGAGCGUAGGCGGGGAUGCAAGUUGGGUGUUAAAUCUACCGGCUCAACUGGUAGUCGCACUCAAAACUGCAGCUCUUGAGUGAAGUAGAGGCAGGCGGAAUUCCUAGUGUAGCGGUGAAAUGCGUAGAUAUUAGGAGGAACACCAGUGGCGAAGGCGGCCUGCUGGGCUGUUGACUGACGCUGAGGCACGAAAGCGUGGGGAGCAAAUAGG